GGGCCCGGUGACGUCUUGCUGCAGCGGUAGCCUUGAGUGCCAGCAUCAGUCCUGUCCCAUCGCUGCUGUUCUGAACACGAGCAAGCUCCUCUCCAAGGCCCUUCACGAUAUCAAGGCUGGCCACCAAAAACAGUGUGAACCUCAGUGCUAAGGGCUUGAAUGCCACUGAGUUGUAGUGCCACCAACAGCGAGGGGAUUGCGUCGUGAUGGAAGAAGAGGAUGCGCGUGAUCACGUGCGAUGCAGCAGCAAUAAUGGCGCGAGGGGGCAGAAAAUAAAGAAAACAUUGGUUGUGUGAAAA